UUGAUUUCACACUGCCGAGAAAAGCCUCUAGAUAGAAAAUAGGUGCCCGUACCGCAAACCGACACAGGUAGUCAAGAUGAGAAUUCUAAGGUGAGCGAGCGAACUCUCGUUAAGGAACUCGGCAAAAUGACCCCGUAACUUCGGGAGAAGGGGUGCUCUUUAGGGUUAACGCCCAGAAGAGCCGCAGUGAAUAGGCCCAAGCGACUGUUUAUCAAAAACACAGGUCUCUGCUAAACCGUAAGGUGAUGUAUAGGGGCUGACGCCUGCCCGGUGCUGGAAGGUUAAGAGGAGUGGUUAGCUUCUGCGAAGCUACGAAUCGAAGCCCCAGUAAACGGCGGCCGUAACUAUAACGGUCCUAAGGUAGCGAAAUUCCUUGUCGGGUAAGUUCCGACCCGCACGAAAGGCGUAACGAUUUGGGCACUGUCUCAACGAGAGACUCGGUGAAAUCAUAGUACCUGUGAAGAUGCAGGUUACCCGCGACAGGACGGAAAGACCCCGUGGAGCUUUACUGUAGCCUGAUAUUGAAAUUCGGCACAG
rnacentral:rRNA from 1 species